rnacentral:rRNA from 1 species
CGCACGGGUGAGUAACGCGUAGGUAAUCUACCCUUAUGACUGGGAUAACAUUGGGAAACUGGUGCUAAUACCGGAUACACUUCUUUACUGCGGGGUAAAGGAGGAAAGGUGGCCUCUUCAUGAAAGCUACCGUAUAGGGAUGAGCCUGCGUACCAUUAGCUAGUAGGCGGGGUAACGGCCCACCUAGGCAACGAUGGUUAGCGGGUCUGAGAGGAUGAUCCGCCACACUGGAACUGGAACACGGACCAA